CAGUGGAAGAUUGACCUUUGAAGGACCACCAAGCUGCAUUAUAUUUGCAUUAUAAUCGGGAUUACAUUAUAAUCGGGAUAUUUUCUUUUCUUUUACCCAUACAGCUAGAAAUCUAGUGUUUUGCAUUAUAUUUGCUGCAAGGUUAUUAACUGAUGCAAAGUUAUAACAGUCAAUGCAAAUAGUAUUACAUCAACCCUCAGCAGGUUGCCGUUGGCGUACGGUGGAAAGCACCUCGCUAUCCAACCUCUGUUUGAUCAAAGCUUGGUCUGAUGGGAAAGCUCCCUGAUCAAAAAAAUAAAUAAAAUGUAUAACCUUUAUUUUGCAGGACGUCUUCAUGCCAGUCCCGGCAGGGUGAUGAACCAAGAGUUUUGAAUUCAGGAAUUUACUUGCAGGCAUCAGACUAAGCAUAAAGAUGCAGAUUAUUGAAGUUCCUAUGAUGUGUCCAAUUUAAACACUUGGGUUGGAUUUACUUUAUACGGGAUGCUGAAUGUGCUGUUCCGGCAUUGGCCAGAGGUGAUGUAAUACCCUCUAAAUAAUGCAUGGCCUUAAGAAAGUGAAAGACCAUGAGCCAGAAUGCACAGGCAGAGGAAAUCGAUGUCAGUGUGAGAGCGAGGAAACCUGCAAGAAUCUGGGAAGAAGAGAGCAUCACAAGAAAGGAAAUAGCAACUGACAGUGAAGAACCUCAUCCCAGUACAACAAGAUGAUCUGACCAUCUCCAAACCCAGAAUGUUGAAACCUUGGGUGGACCAUUGCUCCUUGUACCACAUUUCAGUCCCUUUUAUUGAGAUACCUCUGCCUCCUGAUUUGAGUGCAUGCAACACCUAGAAUAAACCAUGCCGAGAUAGGAUUUAACCAUACUUAGCGACCGCUUAGCUUAAAACAACAGA